rnacentral:rRNA from 1 species
AUAGCGUAUAUUAAAGUUGUUGCAGUUAAAAAGCUCGUAGUUGAAUUUGUGGUUGUUGUUUGCGACUCGGCAUUCGUGCUGUUGUUUGCAAAUGGCACCAUCCUUGGGUGGAACCUACGUGGCAUUAGGUUGUCGUGUAGGGAAUGCUCAUCAUUUACUGUGAAAAAAUUAGAGUGUUCAAAGCAGGCUUAUGCCGUUGAAUAUAUUAGCAUGGAAUAAUAAGAUAGGACCUCGGUACUAUUUUGUUGGUUUGCGCAUCGAGGUAAUGAUUAAUAGGGACAGUUGGGGGUAUUCGUAUUCCAUUGUCAGAGGUGAAAUUCUUGGAUUUUUGGAAGACGAACUACUGCGAAAGCAUUUACCAAGGAUGUUUUCAUUAAUCAAGAACGAAAGUUAGGGGAUCGAAGAUGAUUAGAUACCAUCGUAGUCUUAACCAUAAACUAUGCCGACAAGGGAUUGGCGGAGUUUCGUUAUGUCUCCGUCAGCACCUAAUGAGAAAUCGAGUCUUUGGGUUCCGGGGGGAGUAUGGUCGCAAGGCUGAAACUUAAAGAAAUUGACGGACUUG